rnacentral:rRNA from 1 species
GACGAACGCUGGCGGCGUGCUUAACACAUGCAAGUCGAACGGAAAGGCCCUGCUUUUGUGGGGUGCUCGAGUGGCGAACGGGUGAGUAACACGUGAGUAACCUGCCCUUGACUUUGGGAUAACUUCAGGAAACUGGGGCUAAUACAGGAUAGGAGCUCCUGCUGCAUGGUGGGGGUUGGAAAGUUUCGGCGGUGGGGGAUGGACUCGCGGCUUAUCAGCUUGUUGGUGGGGUAGUGGAUUACCAAGGCUUUGACGGGUAGCCGGCCUGAGAGGGUGACCGGCCACAUUGGGCCUGCGAUACGGCCCAGUCUGCUACGGGAGGCAGCGGUGGGGAAUAUUGCACAAUGGGCGGGAGCCUGAUGCAGCAACGCCGCGUGCGGGAUGACGGCUUUCGGGUUGUAAACCGCUUUCGCCUGUGACGAAGCGUGAGUGACGGUAAUGGGUAAAGAAGCACCGGCUAACUACGUG